UGUUGGCACAUGUUGAAGGUGUGUAUGACAAGUAUCAUGUCAUUUAAGUCUUUGACACGUUCCACAAACAAAGGUGUCAAUGUUUCUUGGGAAGCACUGACAUCUUUGUGAAACGUGUUGGCGUGUCAGACACUUAUCAGACACGACACUUGUCAUGCACGCCUUCGACACGUGUUGGAC
rnacentral:pre_miRNA from 1 species